rnacentral:lncRNA from 1 species
UAUGAACCACCACUGCCACCAACCCCCCUUGGUCCAGCACGUUAAAGACAUCCACUACGAUUAUGACCAUAUCUCCCACAAAGACAACAUACCCGGAGACCAUGCAUUUUCCGUGAAUCUAUUUCAUUCAGAUAGCGAGUCAAUUUGGGACGACCUUUUGACUUUCGUCUCAAGGCAGGAUUCGCGACCAUUGUCGGCCCCAGGUAAUCAGGCCAUGUCUCUGUGUCGUCCAACGGGUCAAACUCAACUCUGGAGACCUUGCGAAUCUCUGG